AUGAACGCUAGCUACAGGCUUAACACAUGCAAGUCGAGGGGCAGCAUGGUCUUAGCUUGCUAAGGCCGAUGGCGACCGGCGCACGGGUGAGUAACGCGUAUCCAACCUGCCUUACACUCUUGGACAGCCUUCUGAAAGGGAGAUUAAUACAAGAUGUUAUCAUGAGUAAGCAUUUUCGCAUGAUUAAAGGUUUACCGGUGUAAGAUGGGGAUGCGUUCCAUUAGAUAGUAGGCGGGGUAACGGCCCACCUAGUCUUCGAUGGAUAGGGGUUCUGAGAGGAAGGUCCCCCACAUUGGAACUGAGACACGGUCCAAACUCCUACGGGAGGCAGCAGUGAGGAAUAUUGGUCAAUGGACGAGAGUCUGAACCAGCCAAGUAGCGUGAAGGAUGAAGGUUCUAUGGAUUGUAAACUUCUUUUAUACGGGAAUAAACGGAUCCACGUGUGGAUUUUUGCAUGUACCGUAUGAAUAAGGAUCGGCUAACUCCGUGCCAGCAGCCGCGGUAAUACGGAGGAUCCGAGCGUUAUCCGGAUUUAUUGGGUUUAAAGGGAGCGUAGAUGGGUUGUUAAGUCAGUUGUGAAAGUUUGCGGCUCAACCGUAAAAUUGCAAUUGAUACUGGCAGUCUUGAGUACAGUUGAGGUAGGCGGAAUUCGUGGUGUAGCGGUGAAAUGCUUAGAUAUCACGAAGAACUCCGAUUGCGAAGGCAGCUUACUAACCUGUAACUGACAUUGAUGCUCGAAAGUGUGGGUAUCAAACAGGAUUAGAUACCCUGGUAGUCCACGCCGUAAACGAUGAGUGCUAGGUGUUAGGCCCUUUCCGGGGCUUAGUGCCGGAGCUAACGCAAUAAGCACUCCGCCUGGGGAGUACGACCGCAAGGUUGAAACUCAAAGGAAUUGACGGGGGCCCGCACAAGCGGUGGAGCAUGUGGUUUAAUUCGAAGCAACGCGAAGAACCUUACCAAGUCUUGACAUCCUUCUGACCGGAACUUAACCGUUCCUUCCCUUCGGGGCAGAAGUGACAGGUGGUGCAUGGUUGUCGUCAGCUCGUGUCGUGAGAUGUUGGGUUAAGUCCCGCAACGAGCGCAACCCUUAUUGUUAGUUGCCAUCAUUAAGUUGGGCACUCUAGCGAGACUGCCGGUAAUAAACCGGAGGAAGGUGGGGAUGACGUCAAAUCAGCACGGCCCUUACGUCCGGGGCUACACACGUGUUACAAUGGGGGGUACAGAGGGCUGCUACCACGCAAGUGGAUGCCAAUCCCAAAAACCUCUCUCAGUUCGGAUUGAAGUCUGCAACCCGACUUCAUGAAGCUGGAUUCGCUAGUAAUCGCGCAUCAGCCACGGCGCGGUGAAUACGUUCCCGGGCCUUGUACACACCGCCCGUCAAGCCAUGGGAGCCGGGGGUACCUGAAGUGCGUAACCGCAAGGAGCGCCCUAGGGUAAAACUGGUGACUGGGGCU
rnacentral:rRNA from 1 species